rnacentral:rRNA from 1 species
GAUGAACGCUGGCGGCGUGCUUAACACAUGCAAGUCGAACGAAGCACUUUAUUUGAUUUCCUUCGGGACUGAUUAUUUUGUGACUGAGUGGCGGACGGGUAAGUAACGCGUGGGUAACCUGCCUUUUACAGGGGGCUAACAGUUGGACACGGCUGCUAAUACCGCAUAAGCGCACAGCAUCGCAUGAUGCCGUGCGAAGAACUCCGGUGGUAUAAGAUGGACCCGCGGUGGUUUAGCGAGUUGGUGAGGUAACAGCCCACCAAGGCGACGAUCCAUAGCCGACAUGAGAGGGCGACCGGCCACAUUGGGACAGGGACAAGGACCAAACCCCUAGGGGAGGGAGAAGUGGGGAAGAUUGAACAAUGGGCGAAAGCUUGAGGCAGCGACACCGCGUGAGCGAGGAAGUAUUUCGGUAUGUAAAUCUCUGUCAGUAGGGAAAAUAAGGACGGUACCUGACUAAGAGGCACCGGCUAAAUACGU